CUCCCCUGUCUGGGAUCUGCCAGAGGCUGCCUGCCCAGCUCUCAGCUGCCUCCUAUUGUCCUCCUCUUGUCCACAGAGCAGCCUGCAGGGGUGCUGGCAUGUCGGAGCUGCAGACCUUGGAGGGAGUCCUUGAGGACGUCAGAGUUGGGGGCCUGGAGGAGGAAGAGCUGGGGUGGGGGGCUGGGCUAAGCCCCGUGGUCCUGGACCUGGGCCUGCUCCUGUGUGCCCUGGGCUCCGUGGCCCUGUUCCUGCUCUACUGCUCCUACGCUCAUGGCUGUGCCUUGACCAGCGCCUACAUUUAAAGACCAGAGGACCCCU